rnacentral:rRNA from 1 species
ACGUAUGUCGCAAGCGUUAUCCGGAUUUAUUGGGCGUAAAGCGCGUCUAGGCGGUCUGGUAAGUCUGAUGUGGAAAUGCGGGGCUCAACUCCGUAUUGCGUUGGAAACUGCCAGACUAGAGUACUGGAGAGGUGGGCGGAACUACAAGUGUAGAGGUGGAAUUCGUAGAUAUUUGUAGGAAUGCCGAUAGAGAAGUCAGCUCACUGGACAGAUACUGGCGCUGAAGCGCGAAAGCAUGGGGAGCAAACAGGAUUAGAUACCCUGGUAGUCCAUGCCGUAAACGAUGAUUACUAAGCGUCGGGGGUCGAACCUCGGCACUCAAGCUAACGCGAUAAGUAAUCCGCCUGGGGAGUACGUACGCAAGUAUG